rnacentral:tRNA from 1 species
GUGGGCGACGUCCACGAGUAGAUGACUCUUAAUCAUCGGGUCCCAGGUUCGAGCCCUGGUGCUCCCACCA